UUUCCCUCCAGAGUGGAUCCUGAGUACGGCGGAACACGUGAAAUUCCGUCGGAAUCCGGGAGGACCAUCUCCCAAGGCUAAAUACUCCCUAGUGACCGAUAGUGAACCAGUACCGUGAGGGAAAGGUGAAAAGCACCCCGGAAGGGGAGUGAAACAGUUCCUGAAACCGUGUGCCUACAAGUAGUUAGAGCCCGUUAAUGGGUGAUAGCGUGCCUUUUGUAGAAUGAACCGGCGAGUUACGAUUUGUUGCAAGGUUAAGCGGAAAAAGCGGAGCCGUAGCGAAAGCGAGUCUGAAUAGGGCGAAUAAGUAACAGGUCGUAGACCCGAAACCAGGUGAUCUACCCAUGUCCAGGAUGAAGGUAAGGUAAUACUUACUGGAGGUCCGAACCCACGCACGUUGAAAAGUGCGGGGAUGAGGUGUGGGUAGCGGAGAAAUUCCAAUCGAACUUGGAGAUAGCUGGUUCUCUCCGAAAUAGCUUUAGGGCUAGCCUCGAGGUAAAGAGUCAUGGAGGUAGAGCACUGUUUGGACUAGGGGCCCUUCUCGGGUUACCGAAUUCAGAUAAACUCCGAAUGCCAUGUACUUAUACUCGGGAGUCAGACUGCGAGUGAUAAGAUCCGUAGUCGAAAGGGAAACAGCCCAGACCACCAGUUAAGGUCCCAAAAUAUAUGUUAAGUGGAAAAGGAUGUGGGGUUGCUUAGACAACCAGGAUGUUGGCUUAGAAGCAGCCACCAUUGAAAGAGUGCGUAAUAGCUCACUGGUCGAGUGACCCCGCGCCGAAAAUGUACCGGGGCUAAACAUAUUACCGAAACUGUGGAUGAACCUCAUUAGAGGUUCGUGGUAGGAGAGCGUUCUAAGGGCGGUGAAGUCAGACCGGAAGGACUGGUGGAGCGCUUAGAAGUGAGAAUGCCGGUAUGAGUAGCGAAAGAAGGGUGAGAAUCCCUUCCACCGAAUAUCUAAGGUUUCCUGAGGAAGGCUCGUCCGCUCAGGGUUAGUCGGGACCUAAGCCGAGGCCGAUAGGCGUAGGCGAUGGACAACAGGUAGAGAUUCCUGUACCAGUGCUAAUUGUUUAACCGAUGGGGUGACACAGAAGGAUAGGGAAUCGCACGAAUGGAAAUGUGCGUCCAAGCAGUGAGUGUGAGAAGUAGGCAAAUCCGCUUCUCGCGAAGCAUGAGCUGUGAUGGGGAAGGAAAUUAAGUACGGAAGUUCCUGAUUUCACGCUGUCAAGAAAAGCCUCUAGGAAGAGUAGUACUGCCCGUACCGCAAACCGACACAGGUAGAUGAGGAGAGAAUCCUAAGGUGAGCGAGAGAACUCUCGUUAAGGAACUCGGCAAAAUGACCCCGUAACUUCGGGAGAAGGGGUGCUCUAUUAGGGUGAAAGCCCGAGAGAGCCGCAGUGAAUAGGCCCAGGCGACUGUUUAGCAAAAACACAGGUCUCUGCAAAACCGUAAGGUGACGUAUAGGGGCUGACGCCUGCCCGGUGCUGGAAGGUUAAGAGGAGUGCUUAGCUUCGGCGAAGGUACGAAUUGAAGCCCCAGUAAACGGCGGCCGUAACUAUAACGGUCCUAAGGUAGCGAAAUUCCUUGUCGGGUAAGUUCCGACCCGCACGAAAGGCGCAACGAUCUGGGCACUGUCUCAACGAGAGACUCGGUGAAAUUAUAGUACCUGUGAAGAUGCAGGUUACCCGCGACAGGACGGAAAGACCCCGUGGAGCUUUACUGCAACCUGAUAUGGAAUGUUUGUACCGCUUGUACAGGAUAGGUAGGAGCCGAAGAGACGUGUGCGCUAGCAUACGAGGAGGCAAUGGUGGGAUACUACCCUGGCUGUAUGACCAUUCUAACCCGCCACGCUUAGCGCGUGGGGAGACAGUGUCAGGUGGGCAGUUUGACUGGGGCGGUCGCCUCCUAAAGAGUAACGGAGGCGCCCAAAGGUUCCCUCAGAAUGGAUGGAAAUCAUUCGCAGAGUGUAAAGGCACAAGGGAGCUUGACUGCGAGACUGACAAGUCGAGCAGGGACGAAAGUCGGGCUUAGUGAUCCGGUGGUUCCGCAUGGAAGGGCCAUCGCUCAACGGAUAAAAGCUACCCCGGGGAUAACAGGCUUAUCUCCCCCAAGAGUCCACAUCGACGGGGAGGUUUGGCACCUCGAUGUCGGCUCGUCGCAUCCUGGGGCUGUAGUCGGUCCCAAGGGUUGGGCUGUUCGCCCAUUAAAGCGGCACGCGAGCUGGGUUCAGAACGUCGUGAGACAGUUCGGUCCCUAUCCGUCGCGGGCG
rnacentral:rRNA from 1 species